UGAAUACGAGACGCUAAGGCGUCGAAGUAGUGUAUGUCAUACUUCCAAGAAAAGCUUGCACUGUCAUAGAUAAAAAACGCCUGUACCAUAACCGACACAGGUGGGUAGGUAGAGUAUACUAAGGGGCGCGAGAUAACUCUCUCUAAGGAACUCGGCAAAAUGACUCCGUAACUUCGGGAGAAGGAGUGCCUUAUUCUUAAGGUUGCAAUAACAAGAUCCAAGCAACUGUUUAUCAAAAACACAGGUCUCCGCUAAGUCGUAAGACGAUGUAUGGGGGCUGACGCCUGCCCAGUGCCAGAAGGUUAAAGAAGUUGGUUAGCAUUUGCGAAGCUGAUAACUGAAGCCCUGGUGAACGGCGGCCGUAACGAUAACGGUCCUAAGGUAGCGAAAUUCCUUGUCGGGUAAGUUCCGACCCGCACGAAAGGCGUAAUGAUUUGGAUACUGUCUCGGAGAGGGGCUCGGUGAAAUAGACUUGUCUGUGAAGAUGCGGACUACCUGCACCAGGACAGAAAGACCCUAUGAAGCUUUACUGUAACUUGAAAUUGAAAUUGGACUUUAUUCGCGCAGUAUAGGUGGGAGGCGUUGAUUAUAAUCUUGCGGGAUUAUUGGAGCCCUCAGUGAGAUACCACCCUUGUAAUGUUAGAUUUCUAACUUUGAAUCAUUAUCUGGUCAAAGAACAGUUUCAGGCGGGCAGUUUGACUGGGGCGGUCGCCUCCUAAACGGUAACGGAGGCGUACAAAGGUCUCCUCUGAACGGUUAGAAAUCGUAUCUAGAGUGUAAAGGCAUAAGGAAGCUUGACUGUGAGACCUACAAGUCGAGCAGGGACGAAAGUCGGUCUUAGUGAUCUGACGGUACUGAGUGGAAAGGCCGUCACUCAACGGAUAAAAGUUACUCUAGGAUAACAGGCUGAUCUCCCCCAAGAGUUCACAUCGACGGGGAGGUUUGGCACCUCGAUGUCGGCUCAUCGCAUCCUGGGGCGGUAGUACGUCCCAAGGGUUGGGCUGUUCGCCCAUGAAAGCGGUACGCGAGCUGGGUUCAGAACGUCGUGAGACAGUUCGGUCCAUAUCCGGUGUAGGCGUUAGAAUAUUGAGAGGAGUCUUCUUUAGUACGAGAGGACCGAGAAGGACAUACCUCUGGUGUACCAGUUAUCGUGCCAACGGUAAACGCUGGGUAGCUAUGUAUGGAGUGGAUAACCGCUGAAAGCAUCUAAGUGGGAAGCCCACCUCAAGAUAAGUAUUCAC
rnacentral:rRNA from 1 species